rnacentral:rRNA from 1 species
CACUCCUACGGGAGGCAGCAGUGGGGAAUAUUGGACAAUGGGCGCAAGCCUGAUCCAGCCAUGCCGCGUGAGUGAUGAAGGCCCUAGGGUUGUAAAGCUCUUUCACCGGAGAAGAUAAUGACGGUAUCCGGAGAAGAAGCCCCGGCUAACUUCGUGCCAGCAGCCGCGGUAAUACGAAGGGGGCUAGCGUUGUUCGGAAUUACUGGGCGUAAAGCGCACGUAGGCGGAUCGAUCAGUCAGGGGUGAAAUCCCAGGGCUCAACCCUGGAACUGCCUUUGAUACUGUCGAUCUGGAGUAUGGAAGAGGUGAGUGGAAUUCCGAGUGUAGAGGUGAAAUUCGUAGAUAUUCGGAGGAACACCAGUGGCGAAGGCGGCUCACUGGUCCAUUACUGACGCUGAGGUGCGAAAGCGUGGGGAGCAAACAGGAUUAGAUACCCUUGUAGUCCCAUGAU